GUGAGGGCAAUCUGGCUGCAACAUCUAUCACCCCAUUGAUGGCCAGAGUUGAUUGGGCUGAAAAGAGGAUGAUCUUCCUCAAUAGAGGAGGACCAUUCUUUGGUCAAGGGUAUAUGAGUAGCUGUACUCCCCUUCUAGAAAUUCCAAACAAGCUCUCAAAAAGAUAUGAAGUCAAAACAAUGAAAUACCACCACACAGCUAUUAGAGUGAGAAAAUCCAAAACACUGACAACCCCAAAU
rfam:Nomascus leucogenys chromosome 5, whole genome shotgun sequence.